AGGGUAUUCGUGCGUGGAUGGCAGCUCAGGAUCAGCCUCAUGAAAAUCUUAUAUUCCCUGAGGAGGUUCUACCACGUGGAAACGCUCUUUAAUGGAACUUUCGUUUUAGCUGGUCGUGACCAAGAAACCACCGGCUUUGCUUGGUGGGCUGGGAAUGCCAGACUUAUCAAUUUGUCCGGUAAACUACUUGGAGCUCAUGUAGCCCAUGCCGGAUUAAUCGUAUUCUGGGCCGGAGCAAUGAACCUAUUUGAAGUGGCCCAUUUCGUACCAGAAAAGCCCAUGUAUGAACAAGGGUUGAUUUUACUUCCACACUCAGCUACUCUAGGUUGGGGAGUAGGGCCAGGGGGGGAAGUUCUAGAUACUUUUCCGUACUUUGUAUCUGGCGUACUUCACCUAAUUUCCUCCGCAGUCUUAGGCUUCGGUGGCAUUUAUCACGCGCUUCUGGGACCCGAGACUCUUGAGGAAUCUUUUCCAUUCUUUGGUUAUGUCUGGAAAGAUAGAAAUAAAAUGACUACAAUUUUGGGUAUUCACUUAAUUUUGUUAGGUCUAGGUGCUUUUCUUCUAGUACUCAAGGCUCUUUAUUUUGGCGGUGUAUAUGAUACCUGGGCCCCUGGGGGGGGAGAUGUAAGAAAAAUUACCAAUUUGACCCUUAGUCCCAGUGUUAUAUUUGGUUAUUUACUAAAAUCUCCUUUUGGUGGAGAAGGGUGGAUUGUUAGUGUAGAUGAUUUAGAAGAUAUAAUUGGUGGGCAUGUNNNNNNNNNNUCUAGAUACUUUUUCGUAUUUUGUUCAUGGCGGAAGCUUUUUUCCACACCGGAUGAAGCUUUUCUGCCAUGGUUGAAGCUUUUUCCAAUUCCGAUUGAAACUUUUUUUCACGUCGGUUGA
rnacentral:rRNA from 1 species